rnacentral:rRNA from 1 species
GAGUUUGAUCCUGGCUCAGAGCGAACGCUGGCGGCAGGCCUAACACAUGCAAGUCGAACGAACUCUUCGGAGUUAGUGGCGGACGGGUGAGUAACACGUGGGAACGUGCCUUUAGGUUCGGAAUAACUCAGGGAAACUUGUGCUAAUACCGAAUGUGCCCUUCGGGGAAAGAUUAUCGCCUUUAGAGCGGCCCGGCGUCUGAUUAGCUAGUUGGUGGGUAAAGGCCACCAAGGCUACGAUCAGUAGCUGGUCUGAGAGGAUGA